rnacentral:lncRNA from 1 species
AUGGGCUUUUGAAUGUCCUACAAAGAUAUAACAUUUAUUUUAGUUUCUUCUUUUUUCCCAUCUAGUCCUACAGAAGUAAUAUUAUGAGAAAUUAUUCUUUAAAAAAGGAUUUCAAGCCCAAAGCAUAAAUAAGGCAUGCAUUUUAUUUCAUGAUUGAAGAAAGUAUCAGAUAUGUUGCCAGAUGAAAUGGUGUUUUAAUUAAUAUAGUCCUAAAACACGCUAUAAUGCUAGCUGAAGAAAGUAUCAGAUAUGUUGCCAGAUGAAAUGGUGUUUUAAUUAAUAUAGUCCUAAAACACGCUAUAAUGCUAGCUGAUAACAUGGAAUUAAAUGGAUGUGACUUAUACUGGAAAUAAUAACUAAAGUAAGAUUUGACAAACUAUGGCCCAUGAACUAAAACCAGCCUGCUGCUUACACACUCUUUUGUUUAUGGAUUGUCUAUGGAUGCUUUCCUGCUAAAACGACAGAAUUAAGAAGUUGCAACAGAGAUCACACGACCCGCAAAGCUGAAAUACACACUAUUUUGACCAUUUAUCUUCUUGACCCCGGAUCUAUGAAACAAAUACAAGAUAAUCCCAAUCAUCUCAAGGUAAAAUUGGAAUUCAGAGGUGGAGCUAUUUGCAAGUUUUCAUUUGACCAAAAUAUGUGAUAAUAAUUUCAAAUGAAACAUUAGAAGACUUUGUGUGUGGGAGAAGCAGAAUCAAUUUGCAAGAGUGCAGUCUCUGCAACACCAAAUAUUAUUGAGGAUAUGAAGCAACUGGAAGUCACACA